UCAAUAUUAUUUAAAGAAGCAAAAAUUAUUUGAUGAUGAUGAAAACGAGAAAGAAAAUGACAUUUCUCAGGUUGAUUUAAAGAACAGUGAAAAACCAGCAGAUAGAAAAGGCAAAAAAUUGAUUUUACAAAAGCACAAUAAUAUAUCUAAUGGUCCACAUCGCAAAAGAAAAUAUACUGAAACGAUAUUAGACUCAGAUGAGGAGGUAAAAAGCUUGAAGGAAGCUAGUGAUGAAGAUAAUGACUUGAAGGAAGCUAGUGAUGAAGAUAAUGACCUCAAUGAUAACAAAUCUCCUGAGCCAACUAAUCCCACACUGCUAGAUAUUUUAAACGCAAUAAAAGAACGAGACCAAAAAAUUGAGAAGUUGACCAAAGACAUUGAAACUUUAA